UACGUAGGGUGCAAGCGUUGUCCGGAUUUAUUGGGCGUAAAGAGCUCGUAGGCGGUUCCGUAAGUCAGAUGUGAAAACUCAGGGCUCAACCCGGAGACGCCAUCUGAUACUGCGGUGACUGGAGUCUGGUAGGGGAUCACGGAAUACCUGGUGUAGCGGUGAAAUGCGCAGAUAUCGUAAGGAAGACCAGUGGCGAAGGCGGGUCUCUGGACAGUUCCUGACGCUGAGGCACGAAGGUCAGGGGAGCAAACGGG
rnacentral:rRNA from 1 species